UACGUAGGGCGCAAGCGUUGUCCGGAAUUAUUGGGCGUAAAGAGCUCGUAGGCGGUUUGUCACGUCGGAUGUGAAAGCCCGGGGCUUAACCCCGGGUCUGCAUUCGAUACGGGCAGACUAGAGUGUGGUAGGGGAGAUCGGAAUUCCUGGCGUAGCGGUGAAAUGCGCAGAUAUCAGGAGGAACACCGGUGGCGAAGGCGGAUCUCUGGGCCAUUACUGACGCUGAGGAGCGAAAGCGUGGGGAGCGAACAGG
rnacentral:rRNA from 1 species